CGAGCGGCGGACGGCUGAGUAACACGUAGGAACGUACCCCAAAGUGAGGGAUAAGCACCAGAAAUGGUGUCUAAUACCGCAUGUGCUCUAAGGAGUAAAGCUCCGGCGCUUUGGGAACGGCCUGCGCAUGAUUAGCUAGAUGGUGAGGUAAUGGCUCACCAUGGCGACGAUCAUUAGCUGGUCUGAGAGGAUGAUCAGUCAGACUGGGACUGAGACACGGUCCAGACUCCUACGGGAGGCAGCAGUAAGGAAUCUUCCACAAUGGGCGAAAGCCUGAUGGAGCAACGCCGCGUGCAGGAUGAAGGCCCUCGGGUCGUAAACUGCUUUUAUGAGUGAAGAAUAUGACGGUAACUCAUGAAUAAGCACCGGCUAACUACGUGCCAGCAGCCGCGGUCAUACGUAGGGUGCAAGCAUUAUCCGGAGUGACUGGGCGUAAAGAGUUGCGUAGGCGGUUAGUAAAGCGAAUAGUGAAACCUGGUGGCUCAACCAUACAGACUAUUAUUCGAACUCACUAACUCGAGAGUGGUAGAGGUAACUGGAAUUUCUUGUGUAGGAGUGAAAUCCGUAGAUAUAAGAAGGAACACCAAUGGCGUAGGCAGGUUACUGGACCAUUUCUGACGCUAAGGCACGAAAGCGUGGGGAGCGAACCGGAUUAGAUACCCGGGUAGUCCACGCCGUAAACGAUGGAUACUAGCUGUCGGGGGUAUCGACCCCCUCGGUAGCGAAGCUAACGCGUUAAGUAUCCCGCCUGUGGAGUACGGCCGCAAGGCUAAAACAUAAAGGAAUUGACGGGGAUCAGCACAAGCGGUGGAUCGUGUUCUUUAAUUUCGAUGAUAAACGAAGAACCUUACCAGGGCUUGACAUCCAGGGAAGCACUACGAAAGUAGAGUGUGCCUUUUG
rnacentral:rRNA from 1 species